AGCUUUGCGCAAUGGCGAAGUCGUAACCAAUGAGGUACAUCCGAGGUGCGAUUAUUGCUAGUUGAAAACUAACUUAUUUUUAUUAGGUCCUCUUAGGUGCUACGACCUGGUUAGGACCAAGGAUCGGUCAACUCACAAAGAAUUUGAAUCGAUUGAAAUGUUUUUUCUUCUCUUAAGUAUCACAUAC
rnacentral:snRNA from 1 species